CAGAGAAUACAUUCAGCAUUUGUUUUUUUGGNACAUCCCCAGCCCCUUGUUUGUCUCUUCUUGAAUGAAGUUGUGAGGAAAUUUGGCUCUCAACUUCUGAACUGUCAUUAUGUUAGAAACGGAAGCACUGUUUCAAGUGUAGAGAUCUUCUCGUAUUCAAACUGGCACUUUUGGAUAAAAUGCAAAUAUAAUUUUGAUGAUUAAGAAAAUGUGAUGCCUGAUAAGUUUUGCUUUAUAAUUGUUUUACCUACAUAAAUAUAGGUAAAAUAUUAUUAGUUCCAUUUAUAUCUAUAAUUGAUUAAGAUAAUGAACAAUUAAAAUGUAAGCCAGAAUUUAUGAAGUAUUUAAUUAAUAGCAGUAAAUAUAUUGCAUUUCCAGUUGCAUUGUCUACCAGAAUCUUUCAAUAUAUAAUAAAUCUUAUAUUUUUGAAGUUGAACAAUUAGAAUAAAUUUUAUUUAAAAAUAUCACUCUCCCUAUGCUUCAGGUUCCAACUAAUUAUAAUUAAACCUACUGCUUCUGCUAUUACAAGUUUACAAAGCAAUGGAAUUAUUGCCAGUACCUGGCCUUCCUGUUCAAUCUUUCUUUCUUCUUCUUUUUUGUUUGUUUUUGACUAUAUCUAUAAUCUGUGUAAUGCUUUAUUCUCCUGGCUAGCCUAUGUUAUUGCAGUGAAAGUUUUGAAAGAAAGAUUAUUUUGAAUCAAGGACAGAAAACUCCAGGAGCUUAGUAAUUUUUUCCUCUGAUUAAUUUUCAAUUUAAGAACAAAAUUAAAAAUAUCCCACCAAACAUUUUGCUUCGAUAGGC
rnacentral:lncRNA from 1 species